GAUGAACGCUGGCGGCGUGCCUAAUACAUGCAAGUCGAGCGAACAGACGAGGAGCUUGCUCCUCUGACGUUAGCGGCGGACGGGUGAGUAACACGUGGAUAACCUACCUAUAAGACUGGGAUAACUUCGGGAAACCGGAGCUAAUACCGGAUAAUAUAUUGAACCGCAUGGUUCAAUAGCGAAAGCCGGUUUUGCUGUCACUUAUAGAUGGAUCCGCGCCGCAUUAGCUAGUUGGUAAGGUAACGGCUUACCAAGGCAACGAUGCGUAGCCGACCUGAGAGGGUGAUCGGCCACACUGGAACUGAGACACGGUCCAGACUCCUACGGGAGGCAGCAGUAGGGAAUCUUCCGCAAUGGGCGAAAGCCUGACGGAGCAACGCCGCGUGAGUGAUGAAGGUCUUCGGAUCGUAAAACUCUGUUAUUAGGGAAGAACAAAUGUGUAAGUAACUAUGCACGUCUUGACGGUACCUAAUCAGAAAGCCACGGCUAACUACGUG
rnacentral:rRNA from 1 species